CCCAUUGAUAACAAAAAACAUGGCGGCUAUUUGUUAGUAGGUCCCGCUUCAAGAUUUCAAAAUCAUCAAACGUUCCAGAAAUGCAACAAUUGUAAAAACUUUCAACGCUGUUUUGUUCAUAUGGAUGGGAACAAACACAUGUGUAUGCAUUUUUGAAUAUAAAAGUUUUGUGGCGGUACUUGGCAAGCAAUUUUCUCACACUUGACUAUGGCUAUAGGUGAUGAUCUUGAGCUAAACUAAAGGUAAAUGGAACAGCAUGGAUGUGGAUUUUUAGACACAAGGAAGCUGAAUUUAACUUUUAAUGAAGAAUUUAAAUGAUGAUUGUCCAUGAAAAGAAAUAUUAAUCAUAUACAUUGUAAUGCUGUAUUGAUGCAUCUUCUGUUUUAAGUAAUUAAAAAACCAUCCAUUUAUGAAAUUAUUUUCAUUUUUUUUUUUCAAUUUUAAAACUGUAGUUCUGUUUUGUUAUUUGAAAACAAUGAUGAAAGUAUACUGAACUGCCAUUGAGAUAUUAAUAUAAAUGCUAUUGUUUAUAGUUUAAUUCUUUCAGAAGCAACUAUAUUGACAUCAAAACUGAAUCUUUAUUGUACACUAAGUAUAAAAGCUUA